CAGUAAGUGCGACUGAAAAGGGAUGAGCCCAGCGCAUAAUCUCAUGUUUACCAUUAAUUUGGCAUGAGAGGUGUUGCGUUUCAGAGAGAUCUAGCAUUUUGUUUCACACCAUCUAAUUUACGAAAAGGAUCCCUAGAUCCCAUGGAGGGUGAUAGGCCCGUGUGAUGGAAGUCAAUUCCCGUGAGGGGAUGAUGGAACAUUAGAAAGGAUCUCUCUGUAGAGUCGGGUUGCUUGAGAAUGCAACUCAAAGAGGUGGUAAACUCCAUCUAAGGCUAAAUACAACCACGAGUCCGAUAGCGAACAAGUACCGUGAGGGAAAGUUGAAAAGGACUUUGAAGAGAGAGUUCAAUAGAACGUGAAACCGUUAAGAGGUUAAACGGAUGGAACCUAGUAGAUCGAAGUUGUUCAUGGAUUCAGGUGUGCGACUACGCUUUAGCUGUAGAGGAUUGUCGAGGAAUGAUGAACAGCUAUAUAACGCUGCUCAUGUCCUCACCUUCUCAGUCUACGAGUCGCUUUUACCGUAUUUCCUAACAGUAGUAGAUCACCGCGACCCAUUGUUUUGUCGAGUGAAAAGACCCAGUCGGAUUGGUAACAACGUCCCGAGUAGAGAAAAUUUUUUGUUUUUUCUACCAGUGGCGCUUGUGAAACCGUUGGUGUUCUGACUUGACGGCAAUGGUCGGGUUGGUAAGAUGAGGGAUUCUCUCGAGAAUCGCUCCCUUUCUUAUCGCGGUGUGCAAACAGUGUCAGUGGACUAUCCGACCCGUCUUGAAACACGGACCAAGGAGUCUAACAUGUGUGCGAGUCAAUGGGUAAUUGUCUAAACCUAUAGGCGCAAUGAAAGUGAACGACGGGUUGAUCCCUGGCCGAGAGAAUACACUUCGAUUUUAUGGGUAUAGAGAGUUUGCAACCUUGCGUGUGUGAGUUAUUUUCCACAUUGUGAUGACCGCCUCUCGCCCUAGUCGAAACGCAUAGUCUCUCUGGCCUAUAACCCUAAAAAAUUAUAAGAGGGAGGGCGCAAACCCAGGGCAUGUAAUAAGAAUGACUAUUAACCGCUACAUUCUGUAUAAUACCUCUUGCUCUUAAGAUCGGCUCCCUUGUUCAAGGAGUUUAAUCUGGAGUAAUGUAUAGAACGGAGGUUUUUAUGUCGUUUUCAUGUACCUUGAGCAGACAUGUUAGUACCCGAAAGAUGGUGAACUAUGCCUGGUGAGGAUGAAGUCAGAGGAAACUCUGAUGGAAGUCCGAAGCGAUUCUGACGUGCAAAUCGAUCGUCAGAGCUGGGUAUAGGGGCGAAAGACUAAUCGAACUAUCUAGUAGCUGGUUCCCUCUGAAGUUUCCCUCAGGAUAGCUGGUACUCAUUUAAAAAAUGAUCUUCACUUAAGAAAGCUCAACCACUAUAUCCAUUUAAAGUUUGAGAAUAGGUUGAGGACGUUUCGUCCCCAAAGCCUCUAAUCAUUCGCUUUACCGGAUGCAACUCAUAU
rnacentral:rRNA from 1 species